GUAGAAUAAGCUAAAAAAGCUAGUGGGUUCAUACCCCAAAAAUGAGAUAAUAACUCUUCUACUA
rnacentral:tRNA from 2 species